UACUGCGGAGACAUUA
rnacentral:rRNA from 1 species